rnacentral:lncRNA from 1 species
UUUUCAGUCUUAGGAGACAGGCAGAAUUUUUGAAGUUUAUCAUCCACUUGCAAAAAAAAAGAAGGAAAAGACCAUCAAGUUGUGUAAUUAAGUCAGCUGGAAUUAAUUAAAAUAGAUCAACGUGCAGUCCUUCCUGCCAUCCACUGUACAGCAGGAAAAGAAGAAACAUCUCUGAAAUAUCCUGUCUGGUCAUUUAGAAGGAAGAAAAUACAGCUCCCAGGGGAGGUGUUGAUCAGUCUUUCCAAAAGCAUCCACAACAUUUAUGGACAAACCUUUUAGAGCAGUGAAAAAAUGUCUGUGAUAAAGAGAUCCUGAACUACUCUGACACCAGCAGGCAAGUUUCUUCAUGAGUUGUUAUUGUGCUGCCAAGGUAGGUCUCAUUUCUUCUGUUUUCCUGCUUACAUUGGUGAGACACCCAGAGAUCUUUA